CCCUCAUUCCCUUGGUUCAUUAUUUCUUUUUCUUUUUCAUUUAUUGUAAUAUGAGUUCAUUCCUUCAGGCCAUAUUCAUCUCUGUAUUCCUUUCCCUCACUAAGUGCCUUGUGAAAUAAAAGAUGCUCAAUAAAUAUUUCUUUAAGUAUAGUUAUAUAUUGUAUCUAUACAAUAUAUAUUCUUAUGUAUUGUCAAAUGAUAAUUCAGCUAUGAUCUCUGAUAAUGAAAAAUUAUCUCUGAUAAUUAUCUCUGAUAAUGAAAAAAUCAGGUGUAA
rnacentral:lncRNA from 10 species